AAGGGAGCGUAGGCGGCUGAUUAAGUCAGCGGUGAAAGGUAGCAGCUUAACUGUUUUACAUGCCGUUGAUACUGGUUAGCUUGAGUUGACAGAAGGCAGAUAGAAUUCCUGGUGUAGCGGUGAAAUGCUUAGAUACCAGGAGGAAUACCGAUUGCGAAGGCAGUCUGCUGCAGUCACACUGACGCUGAGGCUCGAAGGUGCGGGGAUCAAACAGGAUUAGAUACCCCGGU
rnacentral:rRNA from 1 species